AUCAGAUUAUUCUACUAACGCGAAAAACUCGAUAGGUUCUGCUUGAAAACAGCAAUUGUUGGUCUAGUUUCCGGGAAAACAAACCGCACUCUAUUACCGCAGCAGAGUUUUGCUAGAAGAAAAAAAUAUGACAAAAUAAAUUUGUUGGUCGUUCCAGAACUAAUGAUUGAUAAUGUGCUCAGAAUCUGUCACGAUAAUGGGGGACAUAUAGGAAAAGAAAAAAUAAUUCAUGAAAAUAAAAACUUAUGUCGGUUCAGCAGCAUAAAAUAAAUAUGUGAAAUUUUUUUUCCAAAUUGCCUAACUUGUAUAUUCUCAGCCCGACUUCUAACUGGGAAGAGGGUUUCCUUAAAAUUAUUGAUAAAUCACUAUGAGCCAUUACAAAUGGGCCUACUUCAAAUAGAUUUAGAUACAUAUCGGUUAUAGUUGACGUUUUUACAAAAUUUACGCAAUUGCUCCCCGUUGAAACAACAACUUCAGAAGAAGUAAUCAAACAUCUUAUAAAUUAUUAUAAUUUUUAUAGCAAACCAGAGAGAAUCUUUACUGAUAGAGGAGCUUGUUUCGCAUCUAAAAAGUUUAGUGAUUUAGUAAAGAACAUUACAAUGAACCUGUAAAAAGAGCAUCUAGAACACCUAGAGCGAAUGGGCCAGCAAAACGAAUAAAAAAACACUAACUCUUACGCUUGCAAAAGUGUCUAAUGAGCCAGGUGUAUGGGAUGAACUGCUGCCAAACAUUACAUACAUUUUAAUAAUACAUAUAACAGGUCAAUUGCCAAGUGUUCCCCAGUGUAUUAUCAUUUGGCACACAACAGAAUAAUUUGUUCAAUGAAAAUUCGAACAUUGAAUGUUUUGUUAGAAAUAACCAAAGGGCUAGUGAAAAUAUAAAUUUACAAGAAAUUUACAAGACAGAGCACAGAUACUUGAUAGUGAUGUUUGAGGAUAUCAUAAUAUAAUUACAACCGAUAAAAAAGACUCGCAAAUACACAACACUUGGAAGGAGAUUUUGUGGUAAUAAAAAUAAAUGACACAAAUAAACUAUCGGCAAAAGUUAUUAAAGGACCGAAUAAAAUGAAGAAAGUAUUGCCAAAUGAUAGCGCAAAAUUAGAGAAAAUGGAUGCAUAAUGACAUAUCGGACAACGGGGAAGGAAGGAAAAGGUGAGGGAAGACUAGCAGCAGCUUAAUAUGAUAUGUAAUUGAUUUAUUAGCAAUAGCACUCCUACGAGUGAACCUACUAGGUGAGAGUGUUGAGCACAUUGGUGGCGUUAGUGACUGAACUUACUUACCUUCCUGGCGAAACAGGAGAGCUCAGUCACAACUACUGGGGUCUGGUCAUCAAUGCAUCGAAGACGAAGCACAUGAAAGGAAGGGGUUCACGAGAAGACAGUGCUAACCUCCCACCUCGAGUACAAGUUGGUGGUGAUGAAAUCAAGGUGGUCGUCGAUGAGUUCGUGUAUCUGGGCUCACUGCUAACUGCCGACAACGAUACCAGCAGAGAAAUUCAACGGCGCAUUAUGGCAGGAUAUCGUGCAUACUUGGGUCUCCGGAGGACGCUCCGAUCGAGUAGCAUAUGCCGCCGAACCAAGCUAACCAUCUACAAGACGCUGAUCAGACCGGUAGUCCUCUACGGGCAUGAAACAUGGACUAUGCUUGUCGAGGACCAACGCGCCCUUGCCUGUUUCCUAGCGGAAGGUAUUGCGUACCAUCUUCGGUGGACUGCAGAAGGAGAACGGAGUGCGGAGAAGGCGAAUGAACCACGAACGAACACUGUAGGAGCUGCUUGGGGAGCCAUCCAUCUAUCGUCCACACCGCUAAGAUUGGCAGGUUGCGGUGGGCUAGGGAGUGGGACGAGACGGAGAGGUGCACAGCUGGCAAGGUAGAUCGAUCAGGUGAAAGACGACCGGCGGACCCUACGCAGACUGCAGAGCUGGCGAACUGCAGCCAUCGAUCGUGUGGAAUGGAGACGACUCUUACGUGUACAGCAAAGGCCACACCACGGCUUGGGAUUGUGUGGUAAGAGGUAAGCAGUCACAAUGUUACGCCAACGCACUCGCGGUCCAUGGCAGGCAGCUUGUCUCUCGAGAGCGUCCUACAUUUCCGAGAUCUUGCUCCACUUGGUCCAACCACCUAGCUCUCCUAGUCGGAUUCGAGACGAACAACACCACGGCAUUCUUACCGCCCAUUGUACCCUUCCUACUGGGCUUAGAAGUACAGGAGAGUUGCGCCAGCUCAUGGUUCAUUCAUAGUCCUAAGCACACGUCGUUCGAAAACGGCUAGUCCUCGAGUCUCGUGCCCCUACUCGGACUACCGGUCUUAUUAUUUUGCUAGACCUCAACUUGUGUCUUGUGGCGUCCGUAGUAGGCACGACUUCCAGUCUGCGCUGCUGCGCGUCUCUGCUGCAGUUGUUGUCUGACUCGUUAGUCAGAUCCGAUCCGAACAAACAUCCGAAACUCGUCAACCACCUCGAACUCAUCUCUACUCAUAUGCUCAUGCGAUAGGGCGCGCUCGGUUCCCCCUGCUAGCAGAUACUUGGUCUUCGACGUAUUCACCUUCAAUCCUGCACAUGCUUUUCAGCUUGGUUUACACACUGUUGAGCAACCGCUUGGACGCCUGGUCCUUUCAGAUGAACUGGCUGGAUUUAUUGAUUUAUUUGUUGUGCCCCGCAUGUUAAAGGCCGCACACGCACGUGUGUUCAUAACACACACCUUCACUUCAAGAGGCAGGAGAACACAGGAACAGGAGGCCUUGUCUUCGGCCCCUUGCGUGUCUCAAACGGGUGCGGUGAUAUCUUCACACAGCACUUGUAUAUCCAUAUCCUCUAAUCAGUCUUGUUAGUUUCGCAGGGAAGUCCAUAACUUUCCAUAGCCUUCACACGGUCGAUAGUGUCGUAAUAGGUGGUUGUUGGUAAUCGCGACACUUUUGGAGGAUCUCUGCCGCAGCGUUUGCAAUUUGGUCCGUUGUCGAUUGGGCGAUGGGCAUAUCCACGAAACCGGCUUGAUAACUUCCCACAACUACAAACCUUCGUGCUAGCGGCGAGAGACGGCCGGGAUGAUAAUGAGAUUUGGGAGAGCACUUUUUUGUAGGCUGCGUUGAGAAUCGUGAUCGCUCUCGCUCUCGCUCGGUAGUGGUAGUUGUCACAUUCCAACUUGUCGCCCCCUUCUUGUUAUAUUGGGCAUAUUAUAUUACUCCCUCCUUCCUGUUCUGUAAAGCCAGAUCCUUAAGCGGUAGCUGAUGCAGACAGGAAGCCACAACCUAUCCGGGCCCAGCUUGAUAAGCUCCGCUGCGAUGCCAGCCUUUGCAGCUCUGAUUUGUUGUUCUUGAGCAUCCACACAGCAUCACUCUUAUUAUCGUGGUAUGUAGUGCGGUAUGUCUCCCUCAUCCGCUGUGCUGACGAAGUCGUUCCUCCUACCGCCUUUGUCUUCGGCUUGGUCCUCUGCCUCUGGGCCAUUGAAGUAGUGUUCAUUGUAGUAGUUGCUGCUUCCACCUGUCGAUAUCACCUCACACGUUCAUCCGUCAAGAUUCUUCCAUCUUUCAUUUCAUUUCACAGCUCCAUCAUCUGAUUCAUUUCAGCUCGCGGCACAAAGCCUGCGCCGGAUGCGUUUUAGUUUCUCGUAGAAUCUACGUGUUUCUUGUGAACGAUACAGCUGCUCCAUUUCCACACACUCCUUAUUACGCUCUUCAAGCGCCGCUUUUUGUCCCUUUUCGACCGCUUUCUGGCCGCUUUUUGGCUUCGUUUUUUUAACUCUAUAUAUAAUCGAUAACGCUCAAUAUGGAUUCUACCGAUGUUUAUUUUCCUGUAUAAUUUCCGCAUACAUAAUCCCAUCUAUAUAUUAAGUGUAUGCUGCUAGAAAUGGUUCGAUUGAAUGAAUGUUUAAUUAUUUCUGUUCAAUUUCUGCCUGAUCCUGAAUAUAUUUAACAAUUCUAGAAGUGGUUCUAUCAAUAUUUUUACUUCUGUUUAAUUUCUGUAAGGAUACUUUACUUUUACUUUUAUGGCCGACAGAUCGGUGAGAUCGAUCCUAUGCCGAAUCCAGAAUACGUCUCUUUUUUUAUUAUCUUUAUUAAAGAGGCUU